UAGCAUACGCUUGGCUCAAAGAUUAAGCCAUGCAUGUCUAAGUAUAAACAAAUCUAUACUGUGAAACUGCGAAUGGCUCAGUUAUAGUUUAUUUGAUGGUUUUUGCUACUUGGAUAACCGUAGUAAUUCUAGAGCUAAUACAUGCAUAAAACUCUGACUGGUAAUGGAAGGGGUGUAUUUAUUAGAUGGAAACCAAUCCAGGGAAACCUGGUCUUUAUUUGGUGAUUCAUAAUAACUUUCGGAUCAAUCGCAAGAUUGAUGCAUCAUUCAAGUUUCUGCCCUAUCAGCUUUGGAUGGUAGGGUAUUGGCCUACCAUGGCUUUAACGGGUAACGGAGAAUUAGGGUUCGAUUCCGGAGAGGGAGCCUGAGAAACGGCUACCACAUCCAAGGAAGGCAGCAGGCGCGUAAAUUACCUAAUCCUGACACAGGGAGGUAGUGACAAUAAAUAACAAUGCUGGGCUUUUUAAAGUCUGGCAAUUGGAAUGAGAACAAUUUAAAUCCCUUAUCGAGGAUCAAUU
rnacentral:rRNA from 1 species